UGAGUACGAGAUGCUACGGCAUCGAAGCAGUCUAUGUCAUACUUCCAAGAAAAGCUUGCAAUGUCAUAAACAAAUAAUGCCUGUACCAUAACCGACACAGGUGGGUAGGUAGAGUAUACUAAGGGGCGCGAGAUAACUCUCUCUAAGGAACUCGGCAAAAUGACUCCGUAACUUCGGGAGAAGGAGUGCCUUAUUUUUAUAAGGUUGCAAUAACAAGAUCCAAGCAACUGUUUACCAAAAACACAGGUCUCCGCUAAGUCGUAAGACGAUGUAUGGGGGCUGACGCCUGCCCAGUGCCAGAAGGUUAAAGAAGUUGGUUAGCAUUAGCGAAGCUGAUAACUGAAGCCCUGGUGAACGGCGGCCGUAACUAUAACGGUCCUAAGGUAGCGAAAUUCCUUGUCGGGUAAGUUCCGACCCGCACGAAAGGCGUAAUGAUUUGGAUACUGUCUCGGAGAGGGGCUCGGUGAAAUAGACUUGUCUGUGAAGAUGCGGACUACCUGCACCUGGACAGAAAGACCCUAUGAAGCUUUACUGUAACUUGAGAUUGAAAUUGGACUUUAUCUGCGCAGUAUAGGUGGGAGACGUUGAAAAUAUUCUUGCGGGAAUAUUGGAGUCAUCAGUGAGAUACCACUCUUAUAAUGUUAUUUCUAACUUUGUAUCAUUAUCUGGUCAAAGAACAGUUUCAGGCGGGCAGUUUGACUGGGGCGGUCGCCUCCCAAACGGUAACGGAGGCGCACAAAGGUUUCCUCUGAACGUGUAGAAAUCGUAUCUAGAGUGUAAAGGCAUAAGGAAGCUUGACUGUGAGACCUACAAGUCGAGCAGGGACGAAAGUCGGUCUUAGUGAUCUGACGGUGCUGAGUGGAAAGGCCGUCACUCAACGGAUAAAAGUUACUCUAAGGAUAACAGGCUGAUCUCCCCCAAGAGUUCACAUCGACGGGGAGGUUUGGCACCUCGAUGUCGGCUCAUCGCAUCCUGGGGCGGUAGUACGUCCCAAGGGUUGGGCUGUUCGCCCAUGAAAGCGGUACGCGAGCUGGGUUCAGAACGUCGUGAGACAGUUCGGUCCAUAUCCGGUGUAGGCGUUAGAAUAUUGAGAGGAGCCUUCUUUAGUACGAGAGGACCGAGAAGGACAUACCUCUGGUGUACCAGUUAUCGUGCCAACGGUAAACGCUGGGUAGCCAUGUAUGUAGAGGAUAACCGCUGAAAGCAUCUAAGUGGGAAGCCCACCUCAAGAUAAG
rnacentral:rRNA from 1 species